rnacentral:misc_RNA from 1 species
GUGAAUCAUCGAAUCUUUGAACGCAAAUUGCACUCUCUUCGGAGAGUAUGCCUGUUUGAGGGUCAGCCUAUAAAAAAUCGACAUAGUUGCUGUUUCGCGGUGGCAUUCGUCGGAGAUUGGGUCAUCUUAAAGCCUGGGGAUUUAAGCGACUUAAAAUUUGCUUUUCGUUUCCAGAACGUUUCUAAGGACUAAUUCCUUACACUUAUGAUGUAU